AUUGAACGCUGGCGGCAGGCCUAACACAUGCAAGUCGAACGGUAACAGGAAGCAGCUUGCUGCUUCGCUGACGAGUGGCGGACGGGUGAGUAAUGUCUGGGAAGCUGCCUGAUGGAGGGGGAUAACUACUGGAAACGGUAGCUAAUACCGCAUAAUGUCGCAAGACCAAAGAGGGGGACCUUCGGGCCUCUUGCCAUCGGAUGUGCCCAGAUGGGAUUAGCUUGUUGGUGGGGUAACGGCUCACCAAGGCGACGAUCCCUAGCUGGUCUGAGAGGAUGACCAGCCACACUGGAACUGAGACACGGUCCAGACUCCUACGGGAGGCAGCAGUGGGGAAUAUUGCGCAAUGGGCGCAAGCCUGAUGCAGCCAUGCCGCGUGUAUGAAGAAGGCCUUCGGGUUGUAAAGUACUUUCAGCGGGGAGGAAGGGAGUAAAGUUAAUACCUUUGCUCAUUGACGUUACCCGCAGAAGAAGCACCGGCUAACUCCGUG
rnacentral:rRNA from 1 species